rfam:Stegodyphus mimosarum contig1475, whole genome shotgun sequence.
GCCUUCGUAGUGUAAUGGUCAGCACGCUCGACGCGUAACCAAGAAGUCCGUGGUUCGAUUCCAGACGAAGGCC